UCCGUAGGUGAACCUGCGGA
rnacentral:ncRNA from 23 species